UACGGAGGGGGCUAGCGUUGUUCGGAAUUACUGGGCGUAAAGCGUGCGCAGGCGGUUCGUCGAGUCCGAUGUGAAAGCCCCGGGCUCAACCUGGGAAUGGCAUUGGAAACUGGCGGGCUUGAGUGUGGCAGAGGGGGGUGGAAUUCCGCGUGUAGCAGUGAAAUGCGUAGAGAUGCGGAGGAACACCGAUGGCGAAGGCAGCCCCCUGGGCUGACACUGACGCUCAGGCACGAAAGCGUGGGGAGCAAACAGG
rnacentral:rRNA from 1 species